UCCUCAGCUAAUGCAACUAAAAUUACUUUGACCUCGAUAUUACAGAGGUCUUGCAUAUUAGAGAAAGGUAAAAAAAAAAUUUCCAACUAAUCAUGAUUUUGAAUGUUUACAUACAAACAUAAUAGAGUAUUCUAGCUUAUGAUUUCAUAUUGGUUUAGGUCUUCCCGCCGAACACCUCCACUUGAAAUCACACUCCCAGCGGGAAUUGAUUACAAUUAGGCAACCCAAUCCAUUGCUUACACUAAAAAGUCAAUUUCCCAAUUGCUAGAAACAAAGUGGGAAUCUGGGUAAAAUGUAUGGUCAUGUUUGUUAUUUGCCUUUUCACCAACCAAAAUAUUUAUACGGUUAUGUUUCUCCUAAUAUUGUGUUAACUGUGUUACCAUUUUUUCAAGUACUAAACCAAUAAGUCUAUCGUUCCAAGGCUAUUGGUAUUUCCACUGAGAAAGGCUGGUACUACCUGUGAUGCCACAACUGCACAACUAAAUUGGUGAGAAACACAAGGGACCAUUGGUGCCCUAGAUGCAAGGUCCAAAUAGAUGAACUGGUUCCCAGGCUCUGGACAUUAUUCAAUGCUAAAUUAGUACCUGUUCCUAUACUUGAAACUGACAUCUACUGACAAUGGUUUGGUCCAUGGUUAUUUUGAUACCUUCUAAGAUUGGAAGUUGAGGAAUCAUCGGGUACCUCCUUUUUUGUUGCCAUGGACAGCAAAGUCCAAAAAUUGUCCAUCUACCAGCUUUGGAUGUUGUGGCUAAGGGCGAGGUUGAAGGCUUGGCAACAGUGCAUGCCGCCUUUGAAUCACUCAUCGUUGUCUUCCAGGAUUACCUCAUACUGAUAACUCCGUAUAACAUGAAAUAUCUCGAAAUCCCAAGCUUCACUGUAGCAAAGUUUCCUUCGCCCCCUCUAGCACCAACUCCAACCAUAUCUGCUCGGGAUACCCCGAAAUCAUUCGUCCUGAAGAUGAGCAUGUGACCGAUAAUGAACCACCUCGCAAGAAAUCCUGCCUGCAGAAGAUGCCUAAUUCUACAUCGGCAUCCACCAUUGCUGAAGAUUAAGCACCAUUAAGACACGAUUCAAAAAAUAAAACAACACAUAGGAAUUGUCAAUCAUAUUUCUUUCUGUCUCUGCAUUUUGUUUUAGUGUGUUUCCCGUUUAGCAAUUCAUUCUGGUGUAUCUCUCUUGAUGCUUUUGGUUUAGGUGUAACUCCCAUUUUUAUGGCAUUAUGGUAUUAGUACCUUUUAUCA